rnacentral:rRNA from 1 species
UACGUAGGGGCCGAGCGUUGUCCGGAGUUAUUGGGCGUAAAGCGCGCGCAGGCGGCUUGGCGCGCCCGACGUGAAAGCCCCCGGCUUAACCGGGGAGGGUCGUCGGGUACGGUCAGGCUUGAGGGCGGGAGAGGGUGGUGGAAUUCCCGGUGUAGUGGUGAAAUGCGUAGAGAUCGGGAGGAACACCUGUGGCGAAGGCGGCCACCUGGGCCGACCCUGACGCUGAGGCGCGAAGGCGUGGGGAGCGAACGGG